UGGGAUUACAGGUGUGAGCCACUGCGCCCGGCCUCUGGUUUUCGAUUCCUAACCAUUGAAACUGCUAUAAACAGUCAUUCCUGUGCAAACAUUGCAUGAACAUGGUAUUUCCUGUCUCUUAGGUGCUGAUUGGGUAGCAGUGGUCUGGCCAAGUCAUUCUACGGUUGUGCCUUUUUACGUUCCUUGGUGUAUGAGUCUUCCAGUUGCUCUAUAUCCUUGCCAUCAUGGUCGGUCUUUCUCAUUUUAGCCAUUUAAAUGGGAUGACCACUAAGAAGAAAGCCUGGGCUGUGGAGUUAUGAGGAAGCCGGCGCCUCUGUCUCCCAGGAACCAGAAGGCUUUUAGCUGCGAUGAGCUCAGAAGCACUUCCAGCGAGCCAGCCCUUUUUGAUUCCCAGCGCAACGGUCGCGGGAAUCCGGGCGCCAUCCAGGCCUCUGUUCCCGGAAAAGACCAUGCAGCCGCCGGUGACAUCACGGAGGGGAAAGGGCCUGGCUACCCGUGGCAGCCAUGAUAAAACGCAGGGAAAACGGAGCUCCAAGUAGCUGGUGUUAUUAACGGACAUGCAAACGCUCCUAACCGCUGCACGUUCCUGAGGGAUAUCAGUUGUUAUAAAAGUGCUUCUGGCCGGGCGCGGUGGCUCACACCUGUAAUCCCAGCACUCUGGGAGGCCGAGGCGGGUGGAUCACGAGGUCAACAGAUCGAGACCAUCCUAGUCAACAUAGUGAAACCCCGUCUCUACUAAAAACAUUAAAAAAAUUAGCUGGGCAUGGUGGCGCGUGCCUGUAAUCCCAGCUACUCGGGAGGCUGAGGCAGGAGAAUUGCCUGAACCCAGGAGGCGGAGGUUGCGGUGAGCCGAGAUCGCGCCAUUGCACUCCAGCCUGGGUAACAAGAGCGAAACUCCGUCUCAAAAAAAAAAUAAAUAAAAUAAAAGAAAAGUGCUUCUGAGCUACGCUCCGGGAGACUCUGUGGGAGUGCCCGCGGGCGUGGGCGCGGUGGAAGAGAGGGAGAAAGCGUAGCCCAGGCCUCCGUAACCAUGGCUGCGAGGGGCGGGGUGCGGGCGGGAAGGACUCGGUCCUCCACGGUCCCAGCAGGCCCCGCGCCUGCGUGUCCCUCCCUUCCCGCUGGCGCACGCUGCGUGGCUGCUCGUUGGUACUUAGGAGGGAAAGUCGGUUGGUGUUUCUACAGGACUUUCCCCCUUGGGCGGUGGCGGAGCUGAUAAACGCGGUCGUAGCAGCUCUGGUGGCAACAGCGGUGACUACAAGGGCUGGCGACGGCUGCAGCAGGACCUGCAACAUCCCAGAGGUUUUUCCAGAACUUCUCGGAUGCGCUAGUCUACGAGGACCCCCCGAGGCGGCGUUAGAGAUGAGAGAGCCUGUUUCUGCUUCCUCCACUCCCGGCUGAGCCGCCUCCUUCCGGCACCGCCUGAUUGGGACCCAGGCCCCUGUUGAUGCUGCGUCUCAGCCCCAGUAUUGAGAUUCUCGGUCUCCGUUCUCUGUCCCACGGUAGCCGCGUUACCCCAGGCUCCUUCCUGUCUUGCCCUUUCCACUUCCAGACUCUUGCAUUCCUACAGCUCCUGAGAAAAACCUUCUCUAUUUCUUGGGAGUAUGGUUGGCACCUGUAGUUGGGCUGAAAGGAUUUUUUUUUUUUUAUUGCAUUUUAGGUUUUGGGGUACAUGUGCAGAACUUGCAAGAUAGUUGCAUAGGUACACACGUGGCAGUGUGUUUUGCUGCCUUCCUCCCCUUCACCCACAUUUGGCAUUUCUCCCCAGCCUGUCCCUCCCCUAUUCCCCCCAAUAGAUGACUAGCGGAGAAAAGGGACUCUGGGCUCUGUGAAAUUAAUUUUUUCGUUUGACAAUCAUUCUUGCCAUUCUUAUGUAAUAUGUCGGCCUGAAGUCAGUGUACUGGAACAAAAAUCUUUUCCCUCAUGUCCCUGAAACUUUCCAGAUGUCUUGUCACAGUUCAUUAUUCACUCAUUUGUUGAUUCAUCAAAAUUUUUUUUUUAGGAGUUGCUGUGCGCAAAGGCGCUGAUUGCUAUGGCUUAGUCUUAGUUACAUACUUAGCUAUCUCAGAAAUCGUUUCUUGUAGGUGUGCAGUGAAGACAAACUGAAGCUGUAAAGGAACGUAAAAGAGCAAGAGUUAAGUAGUAAGAGUUAAAGAAGAGCCUAAAGAUAAAUGAUGCUGUGGGUCACGGAAUUUAACCAGGGUUUUUGUUGUUGUUUUUUGCUUUAUUUAAAGCACAGAAACAAGGACACCCUGUUUUGUUGUUAUAAUCUAACCUAAGUAAGGUUAACAAUUUGAGGCAAGACAGCAUCUUUUCUAGUUAUGACUUUUAUAAGGAAUGUACCACAUGGUACUAGAUCCCCCGUUGAGGUGAUCUUUGAACGGAGACCUGAAGAAACAAGAGAAUUAGCUUGGAAGCUCUAGGGAAAGACCAUUCCAGGCAGGACCGAGAGCCAGUACAGAGAUGAAGUUGGCCUGUAUAUGGAGCAGCAAAAGGCUCUUUUUAUUCGAGGGGCCGUUUGAUUAGGAGAUAAGCUUGCACAGGAGACUGGGAGCCAGGUCCUGUAAGGUCUUUUAGGGUCCAGGUAUGCUUUUUUAAUCUAAAUAUAUAGACCUUUAGAUACCAGCAAUAAGAUUUCCUGGGAUCAGUUUUGAGAUAAUGUUACAAGAAGCAGUGAGAAUUUUUCUUUAUAAUUCCUUAUAGUAGAUAUCGAUUACUUUGAAUUUACUUUCUUAAUUGCCAUGUUAGGCCUAGUGCUUCCUUUGGAAAUCCAGUUUAUAUAAAAGUUGCUUUUAGGCUGGGCAUGGUGGCUCAUGUCUGUAAUCCCAGCACUUUGGGAGGCCGAGGAGGGUGGAUCCCUUGAGGUUAGGAGUUUGAGACCAGCCUGGCCAACAUGGUGAAACCCUGUCUCUACUAAAAAUACAAAAAAAGAAAGCCAGCAACUUAAAAAAGUUGGUUUUAAAAAAUAUUAAUAUAAUGAACUUCAUUGUCACUUUCCAUCUUCUUAAUUUUUUUUUUUUUUUUUUGAGAUGGAAUCUCACUCUGUUGCCCAGGCUGGAGUGCAAUGGCACGAUCUUGGCUCACAGCAACCUCCACCUACCAGGUUCAAGCGAUUCUCCUCUCUCAACCUCCCAAGUAGCUGGGAUUACAGGCACACACCACCACACCCAGCUAGUUGUUGUACUUUUUAGUAGAGACAGGGUUUCACCAUGUUGGUCAGGCUAGUCUCAAACUCCUGAUCUCAGGUGAUCUGCUGCCUCAGCCUGCCAGUGUGCUCGGAUUACAGGCAUGACCAUGCUCAGCCUUAAUUUUUGUAUUGAGAUGUGUAUGAUACAUGUAAAUAACACAAAUUCUAAGUCUCCACUUUGAUAAGUUUCAGGUAUGUAUACACCAUCCAGAUCAAGAUACAGAGCAUCUCCAUUCGUAAGGCUCCUUCAUGCUCCUUUCCAGCCAACCGUUCUUACUGUUCCGCUGACUCACCAUCAGUUCGUUUUGCUUGUUCUUUACUCAUAAACAGAAUCAUAUAGUAGGUGCUUUGUUCAGUGGAGGCAAUCUGUUUUUGCUUUAAUCAUUACAUGAGUAUACGUCCAUAUUGUGUGAGGGAGUAGUUCUUUUGCAUUGCUGUGUAGUAUUCCAUUGUAUAAUUGUAUGAAUAUAUGUUGUAUAAAUGUAAAUAUGGUGCGAUUUAUUCCAACAGGACAUCUGGCUUAUUUCUAGUUAUUAGCUAGCAUAAGUAAAGCUUCUGUGAGUGCUCUUGUGUGUAUUUUGGUGAACACAUGCAUUUCUUUUUUUUGAUUGUAUAUACCUAGGAGUAGAGUUGCAUAGAAUAGACAUGUGGUUAACACUAGUACCUUGGUUUUUAAUGUAUGGCUCUUGGACCAGCAGUAUCAGCAUCGCCUGGCAAUUCAUUAGAAGUGCAAAUUCUUAUUAAAAGUUCUUAUGGACCAGGCGUGGUGGCUCAUGCCUGUAAUCCCAGCACUUUGGGAGGCCAAGGUGGGUGGAUCAUCUGAGAUCAGGAGUUUGAGACCAGCCUGGCCAACAUAGUAAAACCCCGUCUCUAUUAAAAAUACACAAAAUUAGUUGGGUGUGGAGGCAGGUGGCUGUAAUCCCACCUACUUGGGAGGCUGAGGCUGAGGCUGGAGAAUCACUUGAACCCAGGAGGCAGAGGUUGCGGUGAGCCAAGAUCACACCAUUGCACUACAGCCUUGGUAAGAGAACGAGACUCAAUCUAAAAAAAAAAAAAAAGUCCUUAUGACUCAUGUAGUCCAGGACUAAUUACCCUUCCGUUUCACAGUGUCCAUAAGAAAGCAGACCUGGCGGGGCAUGGUGGCUCACGCCUGUAAUCCUACCACUUUAGGAGGCUGACGUGGGAGGAUCACUUGAGACCAAGAGUUUGCGACCAGCAGUUCAAGACCAGCCUAGGCAACAAAAAGAGACCCUGUUUCUUUUCUUUUUUUUUUUUUUUUUUUUGAGAUGGAGUUUCACUCUUGUUACCCAGGCUAGACUGCAAUGGCGUGAUCUCGGCUCACUGCAACCUCCGCCUCCUGGGUUCAGGCAAUUCUCCUGCCUCAGCCUCCCGAGUAGCUGGGCUUACAGGCAUGCGCCACCCUGCCCAGCUAAUUUUUUGUAUUUUUAGUAGAGACGGGGUUUCACCAUGUUGACCAGGAUGGUCUCGAUCUGUUGACCUCGUGAUCCACCCGCCUUGGCCUCCCAAAGUGCUGGGAUUAAGGCAUGAGCCACUGCGCCCAGCCCGAGACCCUGUUUCUUAAAAAGAAAACUGAGACCCAAGUAAAUCCAAAUGAUUGAUCAUAGAGACACACCAGUUACAGGCAGAAGCGGGGCCUCAGGACACAGGUCUUCCACAUUUUAGUCCAGUGCUAUAGAACAGUGGUCCUCAACGGUGUGGUCUCCAGAUGAGCUGCAGCAUCAACAUGUUAGAAAUGCAAAUACUUAUGUAUUUAUUUCUUUAUUUGAGACUGACUCUCACUCUGUCACCCAGGCUGGAGUGCAGUGGCACAAUCUCAGCUCACUCCAAUGUCUGCCUCCCAGGUUCGAGUGAUUCUCCUGCCUCAGCCUCCCAAUUAGCUGGGAUUACAGGCAUGUGCCAUCACACCCAGCUCAUUUUUAUAUUUUUAGUAGAGAUAGGGUUUCACCAUGUUGGUCAGGCUGGUUGCAAACUCCUGGCCUCAAAUGAUCCACUCACCUCAUCCUCACAAAGUGCUGGGAUUAGAAGCGCGAGCCACCAUGCCUGCCCCUAGAAAAUUCUCAGGACCCACCACAGACCCAGAAUCAGAAACCCUGGGUGUGGGAAGGAUGGUCAGCAUAACAAUCAGCUGUGUUAAGAAGAAAUGUUCUUUUUAAACUGUGAGAUGACCUCACGAAGAUGAACAGGUCAAUGUAAAUUUUUAAAUUGGUAAUGAGAAGUGAGGCUAAAACGUUGAUGGUGAAUGUGAGUGUAUUUCUCCUGGAUUCUCCCAAGGGCUACUUUAACAGCCAUUUGGGAUUUAGGUCACUUGGUAUUAUGUGAGUUAAAAUGUAUACAUUUUAUAUGAAGUUAUCCACUUAGGAGUAAAGGGGAAGUAUCACAUAUGCUGUUUGACGUUUUUCGUUCAAGACAAAAAAUGGACAUUAGUAGUGACUGGAAAUCAUGGCGCGGUGGCUCAAGCCUGUAAUCCCAGCACUUUGGGAGGCCGAGGCGGGUGGAUCACGAGGUCAAGAGAUCGAGACCAUCCUAGUCAACAUGGUGAAACCCCGUCUCUACUAAAAAUACAAAAAAUUAGCUGGGCAUGGUGGUGCGUGCCUGUAAUCCCAGCUACUCAGGAGGCUGAGGCAGGAGAAUUGCCUGAUCCCAGGAGGCGGAGGUUGCGGUGAGCCGAGAUCGCGCCAUUGCACUCCAACCUGGGUAACAAGAGCGAAACUCCCUCUCAAAAAAAGAAAAAACUGCAAUGAGUGAGUUUUCAGUCUACUGGAAAGACAAGUCAACAGAUGGUUAAAAUAUAAAGUAAUUACCGUAAUGGAGUUGUAUAUAAAAGAGCGUGACAGAAUAGAAUCUGACUGAGGGAGUUAAAAGCUUUACAGAGGAGGUUGCAAUUCAGUAUGGAGAGAACAUGUGUGAAUUUUGAGAAUCGUUCAAGGCCCAGUAUGUGUGGCGGUUAAGAGCCCAGGCUCUGGAGUCAGAGACUCUUGGGUCAAAAUUCUGGUUUCGUGGUAACUGUGUAGCUUCAGUAAGCUUCAUGUUACCACUCCAGAGCAGAUUUCUCAUCUGUCCAAUGGGAACAAAUAGGACCUACCUGAAAGGGUUAUUAUGGAGAUAAGUGAGGUACCCUGUAUUACAUGCUUAGUACAGUGCUGGGCACAUGGUAAAGACUACCUAACUGUUCUAUUUGGGAAGAAUACAAGUUGUUCAGUAGUAUUAGAACAUAAAAUGUGAGGAGGAAAGUGCGAGGAGAUAAGGGCUAAACAAAUGGAGAGAGGCCAGGCCUUCAAAGGCAUUAAAUCUCAGCAGACUGUUUUCGGUAUUAUCAUGUGAUCACGGAGGUCUGUGAAGAAUUUGGGGGAAGGAAAUGAAAUUUUCUGAAUUACAAAACCUACUUUAAAAGCAGAGUAGAUAAUGAAUUGGAUGAGGCACGAGAGAUAGUGGAUAGCAGGAAGAUUAUGGUGCAGAGCAGGUCAAAGAUGAAUAUCAUCAUGUAGGGCAGUGAUUGAGGGCAUGGAGGGGAGUUGUUUCAUGUAAAAUGCGCUGGAUUUGGUGAUUAUUGGAAGAUAAGGGAUGACUCCCGAGUUUCUGGCUGGGGGUACGCAGUAGGAAUUGGUGCCAUUCACUUAUAUAGCACCCAGGAUGAUAGCACUUUGCAGACUGCGUUCAGCAUGGGGGAAUAGAUUUGAAGAGAGGAAGUAAUGUUAGAUUUUGAAUAUUUGUACAUGAAUUGCCUCUGGGACAUUUCGGGUGAAGUCUAGAGAAAACCAUGCAGUUGUUGCUCAUAAGCUCUGUCUAGGCACCCAAGAUAGACUUGAGUCAUCAGCAUGAUUCAAGAUGUGUGUGGGCCAGGUACAGUGGUGCACACCUGUCAUCCCAGCACUUUGGGAGACUGAGGCUGGUGGAUCAUCUGAGGUCAGGAGUUCGAGACCAGCCUGACCAACAUGGUGAAAUUCCAUCUCUACUAAAUAUAAAAAAUUAGCCGGAUGUGGUGGCACAUGUCUGUAAUCCCAGCUACUUGGGAGGCUGAGGCCGGAGAAUCGCUUCAACCUGGGAGGUGGAGGUUGUGGUGAGCCAAGAUGGCACCACUGCACUCCAGCCUGGGCAACAAGAGGGAAAUUUUGUCUUAAAAAAAAAAACACAAGAUGUGGCCGGGUGCGGUGGCUCACGCCUGUAAUCCCACCACUUUGAGAGGCUGAGGUGGGUGGAUCACGAGGUCAAGAGAUCAAGACCAUCCUGGUCAACAAGGUGAAACCCCGUCUCUACUAAAAAUACAAAAAUUAGCUGGGCAUGGUGGUGCGCACCUGUAGUCCCAGCUACUUGGGAGGCUGAGGCAGGAGAAUUGCUUGAACCCAGGAGGCGGAGGUUGCGGUGAGCCAAGAUCGUGCCAUUGCACCCCAGUCUGAGUAACAAGAGCAAAAAUCCAUCUCAAAAAAAAAAAAAAAUAAUACAAGAUGUAUGUGAAGCCCCUGACACCACUUAGAGUCAAAGAAUGUUUCUAAAAGGGGAGGAAGUCUAAGUACUGAACCCAUGGAAAACAUUAUUAUUAUUUUUUGAGAUGGAGUUUUGCUCUUGUUACCCAGGAUAGAGUGCAGUGGCAUGAUCUCGACUCACUGCAACCUCCACCUCCCGGGUUCAAGCGAUUCUCCUGCCUCAGCCUCCCGAGUAGCUGUGAUUACAGGCAUUGACUACCAUGCCCUGCUAAUUUUUGUAUUUUUAGUAGAGACAGAGUUUUGCCAUGUUGGCCAGGCUAGUCUCAAACUCCUGGCCUCAGGUGAUCCACCUGCCUUGGCCUCCCAAAGUGCUGGGAUUACAGGCGUGAGCCACUGCACCGGGCCAGGAAAACAUUAGUUUUUAAGAGGCAACAGAAUGGUAAGCUGAAAGGCCUGGUUUUUAUUGUCAGGGACCACAGAGAGAUCAAGUCAGACAGGAUCAGUCGGAUUUGAUAAGGCAUUACUAGUGGCUUUAAGAUUAAGACUAGAGAGGCACAUGUUUUUAUAUUUUGUGGCAAAGGAGAUGCAGUCGAAGUAGCACAUGUCUGUAAUAUGUAGAGAUAUGGAAAAUAUAAUAAGUAGAGAUAUGGAAAAGGCUGAAAAAAGUCUGCGAGGAGAGAAAUCAGUACUUUUGAUUGAUGCUUACUAGACGCCAGGUAUGUAUCUAAGUAAGCCCAAAACCCUGGCGUGAUCUUCAGCUUCUCUUAUCCCACGUUCAACCCAUUAGCAAGUCUUGCUGGUUCUAAUAUAUUCCAGCUCAUGGUAUUUCUCUUCCUCACCUCUGUGGCUAACAUCCUUUUCUAGCCUAGACUUAAUGUAGUAGUUUCCUAAGAAGUCUCUGUUUCCAGCCCUGAUUUGUUAUAAUGUAUUCACCAUGCAGCAACCAGAACGACCUUUUAAAUAAGUAGAUUGGACCAUAUCUCCCUCCUACUAACCAUGAACUUCCCAUGGCUUUCCGUUACACCCUAGGUCCAAAUUCCUUAUAACAGCCUGCAGGGUACACAGGGAGGCCCUUGGAGUCGCAUCUUACAGCUUCUUUGCUCACUUAGUUGGAGUCCCACUUUCUUUCUGUUGGUUGAAGUGACCCCAUGUGAGUUGAGGGGGCAUCUGUAUUCAUUGCUUUGUCAGAGUAUGCUACUAGGUUAAAGCAAAGUCAGUGACACAUGUGGCUAUUGAAAUAAUUGUCCUGUUUAAGAAAAGUACCAAAUCCCUAGAGUUUGUAGGCAGUUGGCAGAAAAUAAAAGUGCUCCUGGACUUGGCCUCGAUUUCCCUAAUUGUGUAAUCUCUUACAUCAUUAUUUUUCCAGCUACCACACCUAUAGGUUGUGACUGUACCGACUGAAAAAGUUUUAAUCUCUCUAAUGUUAACUCCCGAUCAGUUGAUGUAGCUAUCUAUUACAUUGUAUUUGGGCUUUGAACAGAAUGUUUAAUUGCAUUUUACUAGCGUCGUGUGCUGUUGAUAGAGGAUAAGGAAGGGCCAGGUAAGCUUGAUGGCGUACGUAUCGAUUGUCUUAACCUCCCUGUGCUCUAGAUUUAGCUUUUAGUCUUUAUUUAUAGGACAGCUUCACAUUUUCUAGGAAUCUCAAAUCUAUAUGGUAUUUGAAUCUUCUCCAAAUUAGGAGGAAAUAAUCUGUAAUGGUGAAUGUUUAUCAGUUAAACUCUUCGGAAUAUGUGAGGUGGUAAUAAUUGCCACUUACUGAGUUCUGUAGUCCAGGAGCGAAAUGCUUUACAGUACAGAGAUACUACGUUAGAGUUUCUGCUUUUGGGAAGAGGGGCAGGAGAAGGGAAGAUCCUCUUAGGAAAAGCUCCAAGGUUAUAUCCCUGUUAUCUUUCCUCCAAAUAGUUUCUGAUAAUAAGUUAUUUGUUUAAAAAUUAUGUUUUAAUUAGAAUUUGAUGGUUUUUUAAAAGCUUUUACUGGCCCUCAACAUGUUUGUUUUUAUAGGAGCUGACUAAGGCUUUGGAGCAGAAACCAGACGACGCACAGUAUUAUUGUCAGAGAGCUUAGUGCUUGCCACAUUCUUCUUGGAAAUUACCGUGCUAGUUUUUCUUACAAAGUAUAUUGUCCCUUUUUAAUAAGCUACUUCUACAUUUUACUCAUGAUAAAUUAAUCAAAUAAAGGUUGUCUUCGGGGAUUUUUAAAUUGGCCUUUCAGGUAAGGUAAAGUAGCUCAAAGUGUGACAUAUAUGUUGAGCUAUUUAACAUAUAUCUAUUAAAUGUUAAAUAAAUAGAGCAUAUCUAUUUAAAUGUUAUGGAUGUCUCUUUUUCCUUUAUUUAAUGGCACCAAUUCCUACGACAUUCACCCAUGUACAUUACCUAUUUAAAUGUUAUGGAUGUCUCUCUUUUUCCUUCAUUAUAUAGAUUUCAUUCAUACUUAUUGGGUAGGAUGAUAAAGAAUGGUGUCAUAUUUACUAUUUGACAGAGUAUUAAAAUGAAAUGCUCUUGUUUGUAUUUUUUUAUUAAAAAGAAUGUGGCCAGGCAUGGUGGCUCACACCUGCAAUCCCAGCACUUUGGGAGGCCAAAGCAGGAGGAUCACAUGAGCUCAGGAGUUUGAGUCCAGCCUGGACAACAUAGCAAGACCCUAUUAAUCUAUAUUAAGAAAUACUGUAUUUCUGUAUUGUGUCACUGUAAAAAAUUAUUCUGAUAAAGUAUCUAGAGAGGGAAAAACUGAAUAUCUUUUUUUUUUUUUUAGACAGAAUUUUGCUCUUGUUGCCUAGGCUGGAGAGCAGUGGCACAAUCUCAGCUCACUGCAGCCUCUGCCUCCCAGGUUCAAGCAAUUCUCCUGCCUCAGCCUCCUGGUAGCUGGGACUAUAGGCACGUGCCAUGAUGCCCGGCUAAAUUUGUAUUUUUAGCAGAGAUGGGGAUUCACCAUAUUGGCCAGGCUGGUCUCAAACUCCUGACCAUAGGUGAUCCUCUCACCUCAGACUCCCAAAGUACUAGGAUUAUAGGCAUGAGCCACUGCACCCAAUCAAAUUACAUAGAUGAUGCUAAUGAGAAAAAGAGAUGAAUUUUGUGACACAGCUUUGUUCAUUGCCUGAAGAGCUUUAAGAAGGAAGCUAAAUGUUAAGCCAAAAGGAAGGUACAAGGGUAAUAUUUCUUUGAAUUCUGUCUUGGAUUGGCUUUUCCUAAUUAAAAACCAUUUGGUGUUUCUACCAACUCAAAAAGUUAGAAAUCUAAAACUGAUUCGUAUUCUGUGUGUAUUUGUUAGGAUCUGUAAAUAACUGAUGAAAACCCAUCUUUAAUCCCAGCACUUUGAGAGGUCAAGUCAGGCAGAUCACAAGGUCAGGAGAUCGAGAGCAUCCUGGACAAUAUGGUGAAACCCCGUACCUACUACAAAAAUACAAAAAUUAGCUGGGUGUGGUCGCACACGCCUGUAGUCCCACUUAGGAGGCUGAGGCAGGAGAAUUGCUUGAACCUGGGAGGUAGAGGUUGUAGUGACCUGAGAUUAUGCCACUGCACUGCAGCCUGGCCACAGAACAGGACUCUGUCUCAAAAAAGAAAGAAAUUACAAAGGAGUCUAAAAUGAAUUCAAUUCAAUAGGCAAAAUGAAGCCACUUUUCUUUAGUUGAAAGGUAUGGAGAAUUGGCUUGAUUUCUAUUGCACAAACAUAUUAAUCAGUAUGUUUGUGCAAUAGAAAUCGUAUACAUAAGGCCAGGCGCAGUGUCUCAUGCCUGUAAUCCCAGCACUUUGGGAGGCCGAUGCAGGAGGAUCACCUGAGGUCAGGAGUUUGAGACCAGCCUGGCCAACUUGGUGAAACCCCGUCACUACUAAAAAUACAAAAUUAGCUGGGCAUUGUGAUGCAUGCUGGUAAUCCCAGCUACUCAGGAGGCUGAGGCAGGAGAAUCACUUGAACUGAGGAGGCAGAGGUUGCAGUGAGCCGAGAUCGUGCCACUGCACUCCAGCCUGGGCAACAGAGGGAGACUCUGCCUCAAAAAAAAAAAAAAAAAAAGAAA